rnacentral:lncRNA from 1 species
GAGGGGACCUAGAUUUUAAAAAUCGUUUGUGCUUUUGAAAUCUUAGUGAAACUAAGCGUUUUCAAUCCAUAAAAAUUUUAACUAACACAUAAAAUUCAUUCAAAUCUCUUAAAACCUUAAAAAUGAUAGACUUCUAUUUUGCCCAUACAAAAGAAAGCAAUAGUGAAAUUUUAACUGAUAAAUAUUAAGAUGCUUUCUUCUUUAAGGAUUGUAGUUUCAAAUGUUUUUACACUAAAAACCAACUGACAGAUCUUUUAUGAAUAUUUGGAAAAUCAUCCUUCGCUUUUUUGCAGCCCAGAAAAGAAGCAAAAAGAAUCAUAAUAUGCAUUUUAUGUGGUGAUAUAAAAGAGUCCCAUGGUAAGAGCAGACGGAAAAUGGUAUAGUUAUUAUUAAUUUAGAAAAACAAAAGAGCAGCCCAGCAUUUCAGUAAUGUGGCAAGUUGUGUGCUCUUGAAGGAGAGAGGGUUUUAUAAUUGGAUUUUAGAGUAAUUUAGAAGACGAGAUAAGAUGUAAUGGUUGAGUAUUAGAGGUUAGAACUACAAGAGAAACCCAUAAUGUAAGGGUUCACUGCACUGGGGGACAACAGAACAAAGAGAAGCAGCGCCAACCGAAAACGGCCCCAGUGAGAAGCAACAAGUUGUCUCUGAAAAUGUCUCCUCAUCUGCCUUUGAGUGGUAUGGAAUCACUGCUGAGCCUCCACUAUUGGUGCCAUCAAAGACCUCAGUGAUGCCAAGGUUCUAAGGAUACAAAAAUGAAUGAGAUGCUAUCACCUGCUGUCAAGAAAUUCACAGCCUAGGGAGAGAGUGACAUAUGACCAGAGAGGGUCCAAUGUGGACAGAUAAUGAAGAAGGGAGUCAGCAGAGGAGAUUCUGAGAACACAAAGGAGAAGAGAGGCAGCAACCCAGCGUGGGUGGGGUGAGCUGAUCAGAGAAGGCCUCCUGGAGCAGUGCACCCAGAGCUGAUAUGGAGUUGGAAAGGUGAGUGCAUGAGUGAAGGAAAUGAGUGGAGUGGGGGAACAGUGUUCUGGGCAGAGUGGACCUCAUGACCCAGAAAGAGCCUGGUGUGUCCAGUGAUUCACUAUCUGUGAUCUAAGUAAAAUGCCUAAAGAGAGGCAGGUAUGUUAAUCUCCAAGACCCCCAGAAAAAAAGAGAUUGGUAUAGAGAGGCUUUGCACUAACUCCUCCUUUCCUGCCUGUUAUGGUUUGUCUGUGUCUCCACCCAAAUCUCAUCUUCAAUUCUAGUUCCCAUAGUCCCCAUGUGUUGUGGGAGGGACCCUGUGGGAGGUAACUGAAUCAUGGGAGUGGUUACCAUGAUUGUGAGUGAGUUCUCAAGAGAUCUGAUGAUUUUAUAAGGGACUUUUCCCGCUUUGCUCGGCACUUCUUCCUGACAUCAUGUUAAGAAGGACAUGUUUACUUCCCCUUCCACCAUGAUUGUAAGUUUCCUGAGGCCUCCCCAGCCAUGCAGAAAUGUGAGUCAAUUAAGCCUCUUUCCUUUAUAAAUUGCCCAGUCUCUGGCAGUCCUUUAUGGUAGUGGGAGAAUGGACUAAUACACUGCCACUGUAUUUACCCAAAUGACUCCAUCGCCUUCAUCUCAAUUCUUUACUGCGCUAUGACCACUCAGCUGUGGAUGUCACCAGAUUAGCAAAGCAAUGCCUUGGGUCCAGGUGACAGCCUUUAAACAUGAGCAGA